AAAAUCAUUUUUGCACUUGCAGAUUUAAUUGCUGGAAAAUGGCCAGCGAGUUUCUACCGCCUACCGAAAGUGGCGACAAUCCGCAAAUGACUGAAUAAG
rnacentral:ncRNA from 1 species